rnacentral:rRNA from 1 species
UACGGAGGGUGCAAGCGUUAUCCGGAUUCACUGGGUUUAAAGGGUGCGUAGGCGGCUCGGCACGUCCGUUGUGAAAUCGCCCGGCUCAACUGGGCGGGGUCAGCGGAUACGGCCGAGCUGGAGCAAGCUAGGGGGUAAUGGAAUUCCCGGUGUAGUGGUGGAAUGCGUAGAUAUCGGGAGGAACACCAGUGGCGAAGGCGGUUACCUGGAGCUUUGCUGACGCUGAUGCGCGAAAGCGUGGGGAGCGAUCCGG